rnacentral:rRNA from 1 species
UACGUAGGGUGCAAGCGUUAAUCGGAAUUACUGGGCGUAAAGCGUGCGCAGGCGGUUUUGUAAGUCUGUCGUGAAAGCCCCGGGCUCAACCUGGGAAUUGCGAUGGAGACUGCAAGGCUUGAAUCUGGCAGAGGGGGGUAGAAUUCCACGUGUAGCAGUGAAAUGCGUAGAGAUGUGGAGGAACACCGAUGGCGAAGGCAG